UGCCUGGUGACAUCAGUGCGCAUACUUUGGGUCUAACUAUUCUUAGUGAUACCAUUAGGACCCUGCAAACUCAAGCAUUAGAACACCUAUGUUUGUGUGUGAGUCAGGUGCCCUUCAAGGAGACAGAAUCCAUUACUGCUCUUAGUCAGUGUCCAGCAGACACAACCAACAUCCCUGGGAGACAUUGCUUGGAGUGCUGCUGCCUGCAUGGAAUUACAUUAAGGAGACUGAUGUAGAGGUGACUGGAUUCUGUUUUUCCUCUGGGCUUGAAAAGAACAGCGAUACACUUAAUGAAAACAUGGCCGGCAUUCCCAAGUGCUCCUGGAUCCUGUGACUACAUGGCUCUGUGCUGGGAGGGGGCAGCGGUGCACAGAAGUCACAUAUGUGAAACUCCACAAGGACAAACUCCGAACCGCCAAUGAAGAAUCAAGCCGCAAGUGGUGGGAGGUACAGUAACGGGU